CGCCUGCGCAGUCGUCCCAGAGCGCCCCGACCGGGAUGGCGGCCGUUUUGGAGUCGCUGCUGCGAGAAGAGGUGUCGGUCGCAGCCGUCGUGCGGUGGAUCGCGCGCAGCACCCCGGGUUCGGAGGUAACAGCGGUGACACGCCCCCAGGAUAACGCUGGGGAGGCGGCCGCGCUGAGCUCACUCCGGGCCCUGCGGAAAGAAUUCGUACCGUUCCUGUUGAACUUCCUGAGGGAGCAGAGCAGCCGCGUCCUCCCGCAGGGGCCCCCGACCCCCGCCAAGACCCCGGGCGCCUCGGCAGCCUUGCCAGGGAGGCCGGGAGGCCCGCCGCGGGGUAGCCGCGGGGCGCGCAGCCAGCUUUUCCCUCCGACCGAGGCCCUGAGCACCGCUGCCGAGGCCCCUGUGGCCCGCCGCGGGGGCAGGAGGCGGGGCCCGGGGCCGGCCCGCGAGCGUGGAGGCCGCGGCCUGGAGGAGGGUGUCAGCGGGGAGAGCCUGCCCGGAGCCGGGGGCCGGAGGCUUAGGGGCUCUGGCAGCCCCAGCCGCCCCAGCCUCACGCUGUCUGAUCCGCCAAACCUCAGCAACCUGGAGGAGUUCCCUCCCGUAGGCUCGGUUUCCCCCGGCCCUACAGGCAGGACGAAGCCUUCUCGCAGGAUCAACCCAACUCCGGUGAGCGAAGAGCGGUCACUCUCCAAGCCCAAGACCUGCUUCACCUCACCCCCAAUCAGCUGUGUCCCCAGUUCCCAACCCUCAGUCCUGGACACUAGCCCUUGGGGCCUUGGCCUUCCCCCAGGGUGCAGAAGUCUGCAAGAGGAGCGAGAGAUGCUCAGGAAGGAGCGCUCUAAGCAGCUGCAGCAGUCACCUACCCCCACCUGUCCCACCCCAGAAUUGGGGUCGCCCCUCCCCAGACGGACAGGAAGCCUCACAGAUGAACCUGCGGACCCUGCCAGAGUGUCUUCCCGCCAGCGCCUGGAGCUUGUAGCCCUUGUUUACUCCUCGUGCAUUGCUGAGAACCUGGUACCAAACCUCUUCUUGGAGCUUUUCUUCGUCUUUCAGCUCCUCACUGCCCGGAGGAUGGUGACUGCCAAGGACAGUGACCCUGAACUAAGUCCAGCUGUCCUAGAUUCCCUGGAAAGUCCACUGUUCCAAAGCAUCCACGAUUGUGUCUUCUUUGCAGUGCAGGUUUUGGAGUGUCACUUUCAGGUUCUUUCCAACCUGGACAAAGGGACCUUGAAGCUGCUGGCUGAGAAUGAGCGGCUGCUGUGCUUCUCACCAGCUCUGCAAGGCCGCCUUCGAGCUGCCUAUGAGGGCAGUGUUGCCAAGGUCUCUCUGGUGAUGCCUCCCUCUACUCAAGCUGUCUCCUUUCAGCCAGAGACUGACAAUCGUGCCAACUUCUCCAGUGACCGAGCCUUUCAUACUUUUAAGAAACAGAGGGAUGUGUUUUAUGAGGUGCUGCGAGAGUGGGAAGAUCACCAUGAGGAGCCUGGCUGGGAUUUUGAGAAGGGCUUGGGCAGCAGAAUCAGGGCCAUGAUGGGUCAGCUCUCCGCAGCCUGCAGCCACAGCCACUUUGUUCGGCUUUUCCAAAAACAACUACUCCAGAUGUGUCAGAGCCCUGGUGGUGCUGGGGGCACUGUCUUGGGCGAGGCCCCAGAUGUGUUGAGUGUGCUGGGAGCUGACAAGCUGGGGCGGUUGUGGCGCCUACAGGAACGGCUUAUGGCUCCUCAGAGCAGUGGGGGGCCCUGCCCACCCCCCACCUUCCCAGGCUGUCAAGGCUUCUUUAGGGACUUCAUCCUUAGUGCCAGCAGCUUCCAGUUUAACCAGCAUCUCAUGGACAGUCUGAGCUUGAAGAUCCGGGAGCUCAAUGGUCUUGCCCUGCCCCAGCAUGAGCCCAGUGAUGAAGACGGGGAGUCAGACGUAGACUGGCAGGGUGAGCGGAAGCAAUUUGCUGUGGUGCUUCUUAGCCUGAGACUUUUGGCUAAAUUCCUGGGCUUUGUGGCUUUCCUGCCAUACCGGGGGCCUGAACCUCCCCCGACCGGUGAGCUUCAGGACUCCAUUCUGGCCCUCAGGAGUCAGGUCCCUCCGGUCCUGGAUGUGCGGACUCUGCUGCAGCGAGGGCUGCAGGCCCGCCGGGCGGUGCUCACCGUGCCCUGGCUGGUGGAGUUUCUCUCCUUUGCUGACCAUGUUGUUCCCUUGCUGGAAUAUUACCGGGACAUCUUCACUCUCCUACUGCGCCUGCACCGGAGCUUGGUGUUGUCGCAGGAGAGUGAGGGGAAGAUGUGUUUCCUGAACAAGCUGCUGCUACUUGCUGUCCUGGGCUGGCUUUUCCAGAUUCCCACAGUCCCUGAGGACUUGUUCUUUCUGGAAGAGGGUCCCUCAUAUGCCUUUGAGGUGGACACAGUAGCCCCAGAGCAUGGCUUGGACAAUGCGCCUGUGGUGGACCAGCAGCUGCUCUACACCUGCUGCCCCUACAUCGGAGAGCUCCGGAAACUGCUCGCUUCGUGGGUGUCAGGCAGUAGUGGACGGAGUGGGGGCUUCAUGAGGAAAAUCACCCCCACCACUACCACCAGCCUGGGAGCCCAGCCUUCCCAGACCAGCCAGGGGCUGCAGGCACAGCUCGCCCAGGCCUUUUUCCACAACCAGCCGCCCUCCUUGCGCCGGACCGUAGAGUUUGUGGCAGAAAGAAUUGGAUCAAACUGUGUCAAACAUAUCAAGGCUACACUGGUGGCAGAUCUGGUGCGCCAGGCAGAGUCACUUCUCCAAGAGCAGCUGGUGACACAGGGAGAGGAAGGGGGAGACCCAGCCCAGCUGUUGGAGAUCUUGUGUUCCCAGCUGUGCCCCCACGGGGCCCAGGCAUUGGCCCUGGGGCGGGAGUUCUGUCAAAGGAAGAGCCCUGGGGCUGUGCGGGCGCUGCUUCCAGAGGAGACCCCGGCAGCCGUUCUGAGCAGUGCAGAGAACAUUGCUGUGGGGCUUGCAACAGAGAAAGCCUGUGCUUGGCUGUCAGCCAACAUCACAGCACUGAUCAGGAGGGAGGUGAAAGCAGCAGUGAGUCGCACACUUCGAGCCCAGGGUCCUGAACCUGCUGCCCGGGGGGAGCGGAGGGGCUGCUCCCGCGCCUGUGAGCACCAUGCUCCCCUCCCCUCCCACCUCAUCUCCGAGAUAAAAGACGUGCUCUCCUUGGCCGUGGGGCCACGGGACCCUGACGAGGGAGUCUCCCCAGAGCAUCUGGAACAGCUCCUAGGCCAGCUGGGCCAGACGCUGCGGUGCCGCCAGUUCCUGUGCCCACCUGCUGAGCAGCAUCUGGCAAAGUGCUCUGUGGAGUUAGCUUCCCUCCUCGUUGCAGAUCAAAUUCCUAUCCUAGGGCCCCCGGCACAGUACAGGCUGGAGAGAGGGCAGGCUCGAAGGCUUCUGCACAUGCUGCUUUCCUUGUGGAAGGAAGACUUUCAGGGGCCGGUUCCGCUGCAGCUGCUGCUGAGCCCAAGAAAUGUGGGGCUUCUGGCAGACACAAGGCCAAGGGAGAAAUGGGCUCCACUUAUCCAUCUCAAGUCUCUUCCCAGCAGCUCUGCCCUUUGAGAUCUCAAUCUCUGUCAUCAGGGUCACUCUGCCGUCCUCCUAGCAACCCUGACCUCGGUGUGUUUUGCAGUGGGACUUGCUGCUAUUCUUGCUCCGGGAGCUGGUGGAGAAGGGUCUGAUGGGACGGAUGGAGAUAGAGGCCUGCCUGGGCAGCCUCCACCAGGCCCUGUGGCCAGGGGACUUUGCUGAAGAAUUAGCAACACUGUCUAAUCUGUUUCUAGCCGAGCCCCACCUGCCAGAACCCCAGCUAAGAGCUUGUGAGUUGGUGCAGCCAAACCGGGGCACUGUGCUGGCCCAGAGCUAGGGCUGAGAAGUGGCCCUGCCUUGGGCAUCGCACCAGAACCCUGGACCCCCGCCUCACGAGGAGGCCCAAGUGCCCAAUGCAGACCCUCACUGGUUGGGGUGUAGCUGGGUCUACAGUCAGACUUCCUGCUCUAAGGGUGUUGCUGCCUGGCAUCCCACCACGCGAAUCCUAGAGGAAGGAGAGUUGGCCUGAUUCGGGAUUAUGGCAGAAAAGCCCAGAGAUGCCAGUCCUGGAGUAGAAGAGGUGGUGUUUGUUUAUCUCUUGGAUGCUAAAUGAAAUGAGGUGUGUGGGCUUGUCAACACAGAAUUCAAGCCUCAUUUGCUAUCCCAGCAUCUCUUAAAACUUUGUAGUCUUGGAAUUCAUGACAGAGGCAAAUGACUUCUGCUUAACUUAUGAAGAAAGUUAAAACAUGAAUCUUGGGAGUCUACAUUUUCUUAUCACCAGGAGCUGGACUGCCAUCUCCUUAUAAAUGCCUAACACAGGCCGGGUCUGGUGGCUCAUGCCUGUAAUCCCAGCACUUUGAGAGGCCCGAGGUCGGCGGACUGCCUGAGGUCAGGAAUUCAAGACCAGCCUGGCCAACAUGGCAAAACCCCGUCUCUACUAAAAAUAAAAUUAUUAGCUGGGCAUGGUGGUGUGUGCCUGUAAUCCCAGCUACUCAGGAGGAUGAGGCAGGAGACCUGCUUGAACCUGGAGGUGGAGGUUGCAGUGAGCCGAGGUCGCACGACUGCACUCCAGUCUGGGUAACAGAGCGAGACUUUCUAGAAAAAGCCUAACAAACAGAUAAGGUAGGACUCAACCAACUGAAACCUGACUUUCCCCCUGUACCUUCAGCCCCUGUGCAGGUAGUAACCUCUUGAGACCUCUCCCUGACCAGGGACCAAGCACAGGGCAUUUAGAGCUUUUUAAAAUAAACUGGUUUUCUUUA